GGAGAAACUGAAAAGGGAUAUGGGCAGAUCACCUGAUGGGCCUCUGGUAGUGAAGCUGGUGAGUGUCUGCAUCGGUUAAGACUCUUUCAGUUGCUGGGGCAGAAAACCUGAUUCAAACUAAAUAAGAAGGGGAGUGGCUGCUCAUGUAAGCUAAAAUGUCCAGGGGUAGAUCUAGCUUUAGCUGAGUCCUGUUUCAGGGUCCAAAUGAUGUCACAAGGCUCCACUAUUUUGCACUGGUUCCUCUGGGUGGAACACAUUAAUGGGUUCUGCCUGGUGACUUCAGUGGCUUCAGGUUAUCAUCGCUGUAGCAUCUGUUGCAGCAGAAGACAUCAUUCGCUUCCCUGAGCAUGGCGACACAAGUCAGAGAACUGAGCUUUGGUGACAGUGAGUGGCCUGACUUGGAGCCUGUCUCUGUGGCUGGGGGGUUGAGUGCAUUGACAGCAUAGCCUACACACCCGGACUCUGCAGGACUUUGGGACCUUGUGCAAACACUGCCACAAACAUCUGAGAAAGCAAAGCCUUGAGCAGAGACAGGUUUCAAACUGUGUACAGAGUGAAAAUAAAUUUUCCCAGUUUUAAAACUGACCGCAAAAAACCCUUGGGAAUAAUGUAACGGCAACAACUGGUCCAAUUAUAUGUAAAGAAACAAAUACACACACUCUGAGGGCAUUACAGGAUAUGCCAACAGGACCCCCGACUCAGGCCAGAAAAGAGGAAACAAUAAAUAAGGUAAUGUAUUGUGAAGUUGGUGGCCUUGAUAAAAAGCAGCAUUGUGACAGUUAUAAAAGGUUCUUUUAUUAUUUUUUAUUACCUUAGGAGGAGAGGAGGAAACGUCCCUUGUUCCUUUUCUUUCUUGAAAGGCAUUUGUUCACUCCCCUCUGCGGUGUGGAGAACAAGGAUGUAGUCACCUUCAGGGUUCCACCUUUGACUAAGCCCGUUGUGGUUCUUGGGACUGUUACAAUCACAUUUUUUUUUAAAAGAGCCUCUGGGUUGGAGCAUACAAUGUUUGAUUAAUUGAACAGGAACCAGUUUAUCAGUAAGAACAAUCAGACCACUUUGAUUCUGAAGAGAACGAGUACUGUAGAAGAGGACGGAUGGAUCCCAGGCUCUGGGCGCCUCCCUAGGACCACAAAUACCUGACUUAAGCUCCCUCAGCCUCAGCUGACCCACUGGUUCAGUUAGAAGAACAUUUAGAAGUCAGUGUCCACUCUCAAAACAUCCUGAUAUUUUGGUUUAUUAAACGUAAA
rnacentral:lncRNA from 1 species